CAAAGUGGGAACAGAGAGACUGCUGAGAGGUGACUGUGAUUGGGCAGAGAUUUGGACCAGGAGAGAGCAUGAGAGGAUGCUGGACCAUGCUGCCAUUCUGGGGGAAAGGUGGAGUGUGAAAUGAGCUGACAGAAGAGACCAACAUGGAGAGCCUCACCCCCACGGCCCACAGCAGACACAUCACAGAGUUACCAGGAAUUCCAGAAAGGAAGUCAAGUGAUGAAAGACUGAAGGAUGGGAACCCUGGGAGGACUGCUCCCUAAGGGAAGCUGGGUGGAAAGUUCUCACGGAGUCCAGCCCCGUUCCGCCUGCUCUGCCCUGGGGGUCUCCCAGCCCCUGUCCCUCCGCGAAUUGAGGAGCGGUCCUAAUUGCCAGUUGCCUUAAAGAGUUUGGGGAAACUGAAGACUGGGGUCCUUUAUAGGCAGGUUCUGGAUCAAGAGGGGUGGGGAGAGGCCCUGCAUUUGGAUUCCUGAAAUCCACAGAAAACCCUGCCCUUACACUACUUUAUUUUAAAGGUUUUGUUUUUUUUUAAAUUACAAAAGUAAAACAAGCGUGCUGUAAAAAUAGCAUAAACAUGUACAGUGCAUAGGCUGGGCUCGGUGGCUCAUGUCUGUAAUCUCAGCACUUUGGGAGGCCGAGGAAAGUGGAUCACGAGGUCAGGAGUUCAAGACCAACCUGGCCAAGAUGGUGAAACCCUGUCUCUACUAAAAAUACAAAAAUUAGCCGGGCAUGGUGGCAGUCACCUGUAAUCCCAGAUACUCGGGAGGCUGAGGCAGGAGAAUCGCUUGAACCCGGGGGUGGAGGUUGCAGUGAGCCAAGAUCGUGCCACUGCACUGCACUCCAGCCUGGGCGACAGAAUGAUACUCCAUCUCAGGAAACAAACAAACAAACAAACAAACAAACAAAAACCAUAUACAGUGCAUAAAGAAAAAGGCAGAAGUCCUUCUCCAGGUGGCCUCCCUGCCCAAAUCUGCUCCUCAGGGUGGGCCCUGAGGCUGCUGGAGUCUCCUGUGCUGGGGAGCCCUCCACGCUGCCUCCCUCCAGGCCUUUAAUCCAGUCUUGAGGUGCCCGAAUCUCUGUUUUGUACACCUGCACACCUUCUAGUGGGGGUACUUUGCAAACUCAAUGUGAGGACAAGCAGAUGGAAUGGCAAGUGGCAGGUGUGGCCUAAGGUAUCCUCCCAUCGGGCUCCCCCACCCUUGGAAAUUAGGAUCUUAAAUUUUGGUCCUGACCAAGUCCCACUAAAACUUGGCUACUAGGUUGGUUUUCCAAUUCCAGGGCCAAAAGGAAACUGGGAACAAUGCUACCUACUAGCAAAAGAAAAAAAACCAAAUUUGUUAGAACAGUGACCCUAACUAGUCAAAGGCAGUGCUUUCACCUAGAGGUAAUAAUAAUAACCACUUCUGGGAGCCCUUAUUGAAGGCUGGGCUUUGCUUUAAGAGUGAGGACUGCUAAUAUUUCUCUUUUCUAGAUGAGGACACUGGUGCUCAGGGAGAUUCACUGCAGGAGGCAGGAGAGUGCAGUGGUGAGGAGCUCAGGCUCUGCGGCCCGACCACCUGGUCAUCCAUCCUGGUUCUGCUGCUUAUCAGCUGUGUGACCUCAGACUUACAUUAUGGAGUCUCUCAUGACUUGGUUUCCUCUCUAGUAAAAUGGGGAUGAUGACAGUGUCUCCCUCCAAGGGGGGUGGUGAUUAAAUGAGUUACUAUGUGGCUGGGCAUUGUGGCUCAUGCCUGUAAUUGCAGCACUUUGGGAGGCUGCAGCAGGAGGAUCACUUGAGCCAGGAGUUUGAGGUUACAGGGAGCUAUAAUCGCACCACUGUGUUCCAGCCUGGGUGACAGAGUGAGACCUUGUCUCAAAAAAAAAAAAAAAAGAGUAUGUGUCAAGUGCCUGGCACAGAGAAGAUGCUCAAUAAAUAUGAGAACUGGGAUUAAAUUAUGGGCCUAAGUCUCAGCUAGUGGCUGAUGGAGAAGGCAUCUGAAUCCAGGUCUGAUGUGGUUGAGGGUCAAGGGCUUACCCGCUAUGUAGUGCUGUCUCCCUAGAGCCUGCCGGCUCUCAACUCCUCUCCCACCUUCAAGGCCUAGAUCCUCGGGAGUCCCAGCUGUCACUGAUGUGAGGAUGACACGUGUCUCCUCUGAAGAACCAAUGAUUCCUGGUGAGUCAUGGGAGGCAGAGAAGACUCUUGGACUUUUGGCAGAAGAUGGUUAGCCCUGGGCCUUUCUCCUCGGAGGAAAGCCUGUAAGUCCCUUGCCCUGAUGGGUGCUUGGCAGGGAGGAUGGGGGAUUCCCUAUCUUUCUAGGGAUACCCUAAACUCAAGUACCCUCAUUAUGAUACAGGAUCUGACGCAAGCAUAGGGGAAGUGUGGCUGCCUCCUAAGGGUGGAAAUAGCAAUGAAGGAGGCUGUCAAACAUGAUUUGCUGGAGUGGUGAUGUCCAACCUGAGUCUUCAAAGAUGGGGGGAAGUUAUGAAGGGAGGGGAAGGACAUUCUGGGCAGAGGGCACAAUUUGAGCAGAGAGGCUAGACAUGGUAUCUGAGAAGGAUCAAGUCUGAAGAAAGAAGCAGCAAAAGAUGAGGCUGCAGAGGUCAACAGUGGUCAGAAUUUGGAAAUCUUUGUAUAAUCUGCUGAAAUGCUUGGACUUUUUUUGAUCGAAAAUAGGGAGCCAAUGAAGAGUUACAGAGGAGAUAACAAUGGUAAAGUUUUG
rnacentral:lncRNA from 1 species